AGCAGGUUACAACCUGUAAGCUUAGAUAUUCACAAACUUUCAAUAAUCUUUCAACUACUCAAAAACCCUUCUAAUAAUCUUUCCUGUACCUAAAAGGCAAACGUUUUGUAGAAGCUCCACAGGAUAUUCCAUUCCAAUCACUUUCAACCACUUAUUUAUAUCAUUACUCACAGUCCCUAAUGCAACAAUUAUUACGAAGCACGAUCUUUACAGUUUUCAUAUUCGCAAUUCUCACAAUUUCAAAUUUUAAGGGACUGUAUUUUUUUUUAAUUUUUCGCCUUCUUCCUUCACAAUUCUGGAAUCAAACGCACAUGAUGGAUCAAUUAGGAGCCGGUUUCUGUUUGUGUUAGUGGAUUUCGUAGGAGCGUGUUUUGAGCAUGUAUAGGUGACAAUGUUCUCAAAGUGCUUCCAUGCGAUCUUAAUGUGAGUGGAACUGAGAGUGAAAGACCAGUCGAUGAAGGACAGAUCCUUUCUGAUUGCUCCCCAGUCCGCUUUGUGGAAGUUUAUGUUGUCAAAUGAGAGCCGUGGAGUGGGAUUGGCUGGUUUGGUUUUGAUAUGCUGGGAAUUAAAAUUGCAGAGUAUCAUGUCGUGAUCUGAAAGGGGACUUUUCUCAACUGAAAUACUGUGAACGGAGCUAGAGUAGUUGGUUAAAAUUAGAUCCAAGAUCAUUUUAUUCUAUCUUGUUGGUUCGAGCACUAGCUGAGUCAGGAAGAAUUUAUCCAUUAGAUUAAAGAGUAAUUCUGCUGCUGCUUUAUCUGAUGUACAGCAUUUGCCUAACUUCAGAGUAUUUGUGGGCCAGUUUAUAUGAGGGAGGUUAAAAUCACCCAUCACUAGUAUAUUUCCGGAGUUGUAUUUUUGAAGGAAGGACUUGAUUUUGUCGAGGCACUCGUCAAGCCACUUUAGAGGUGCUUGGGGAGGCCUGUAAAAACCAACAAUGAUUAUGUCUUUGGCCUUGUUGAACAGUGAUAUAGAUUCACAAUAGCCAUUGGAAAAUAUGUCCUUGGCACCAACUGAAAAGGAGUCAUGGAGAAAGAUGGCUGCCCUCACUUUUAUUUCGGUUUGUGUGAUCUGCACGGACAAUGGUGAAAUCUUUUAUUUUCACCUCGGCAUCCAUAUGUGUGCUGUUUAGAUGAAUUUCAGUAAGGAUAAAGAAAGAGAAGCAAUGUGCCGUUUCUCUCUAUAUAUGGGAUCUUUCAUUUUUGGGCAAUGAGUGAUGGGUUGAUGCCAUGUGCAUUUAACAGGAAUGUCGAGGUAAGGGUAGUUUGAUGUUUGCAUUGUUCUAAGUUAUGUUUUAGGUGCUUCCAAGGUAGUAGCAUUAGCAGGCUGUUGUUAUUGUGGUAGUGAGUCCUGGCUUGCCACGGUAGUGUUGGGCAGAAUUAGGUCAGAUAGCGAUAUCAAUGAGGAUGUUGUUUGUUGCUGGCUAGCGGAUCGUUGAAGUGACCCCUGACUUGUUUACGUUGGGUCAGUUAUUGCACUACAUGCAUUGACAAGUAUGGCUUCCAGUGUUGCCGUGUGCGUGUGUAAAGUAUGAAAUGAUCUUGUGAUUUCCUUUAUUUUGUUUUAGAUCUAUUUUACAGAUCUGUAAAAGAAUUGUGACGCUAAUUUUUCAGCGAUUCUACCGUAGACAUUAGCUUUUACACAAUCGUCAUGGUGAGUGUACCAAGCGUUUAUCAGUGCACUGAUUUCGUUUUCUACCUAAUGGCGUUUUAGAAUAUUAUUGGCCAUAUUCAGUGAGACAAUAUUAUACUCUGUACGUCAGUUAUUGAUGACUUGAUGUAUAAUAGUAAAUAAACCGAUAAGUUUGUGUUGAUAUAUUCGGAAAUUCGGGGCUAUAUCUGGGUGUUUGUGAGAUAGUUCAGUGUAUUUAAUACAAGUCAGAAUGAGCGGUGUGUGUAAUACGAAUCAAGAGAAAAGAAUUGUACUCACGGGACUAGUAUUAGAACUAAUCUUGGGUUUAGUUUUGGUUUUUAUUUGUUUCUCCAGGUUGUAUAUAAAUUUGUGUAAAUUUAUUCUCCGAUGAUAGUAAAAUUGUAAAAUAAUAAAAUUCAAGAGUUCUGUGACUAAAAACAAGGCAAGUUACUGCUAUAGCCAUGAUUGAUCGCUUGCCACUAAACUUUUUUUUAAUUUUCUAUCUCUACUUAUUUCUGUGUUCCUUUCUGUUGAAGAGCGUGGGCUCGAAACGUAAAAAACUUUCUCAAUUCUCGAGAGUUAAACUAAUAAAUCUGUUUGUUGUUUACA